CAUUGUACAGACACAAAACAUCGUGCAAGAUAAGGUUGUGCGGGACAAUCGUCUGGUUAGACGCAUCAGGCUAAUGUUUUUCACGUGGCAGACGUGAGAAGCGAGGUGCCUCUGGCUCCAGGUUCACUGCCACGAGCAUUAUUACGCAAGAAGAGUCUACCGUUCGUUCCUCCUGUUACGCCUUAACCGCGCUUAAUUAAUCGCCUAAUUGCCGACCUGCCAAUUAAACGACCUCUGGUGUUGGCACGAGUUGAGCUCGUCGGAUCAAUUUUCUCCGACUUAUGCAGAUUCCACGGGGGAUCUCUACUAAACACCUCCAAAUAUACGCACUAAGCAUGCGCAUUUUAAAGUUUAAAGAUGUAUUUUACCAAUGACUAUAAUUUGAUUUAAACGCUUCCCACUGGGAAAUUGAUAAUUCUCGUGGAUGCUAAUACAAGAGGAAUUAUGCAGAAGAAUGGAAAUAUAAGUCCACAGUGCAGUGGAUAUCAUGCAAUUGAAUAAUAACAGAAGAAUCGCUGAGAAGAAUAACAAAAAGAAAUGUGAACUGCGGCCUAGAACCAAACGUUGCUACGAAAUUUGUUACAAUUUUUACCAAUAAUGAAAUCCCCAUCAAAAUUUUCGGAAUCCAACAGAACGACAUAAUCACGAUCACUAUGAUCUGUCUAAUAAACCGCAAGUGAUAUGCCAUCGACAGAAUUCAAGGUUUCACAAAAUUUGUCACAACUCAAUCCCGAGGAAGCGAGAAAGCUGUGAACGUAAAAGCGCACCAAUUU